UACGGGGGGGCAAGCGUUGUUCGGAAUUCCUGGGCGUAAAGGGCUCGUAGGCGGCCAACUAAGUCAGACGUGAAAUCCCUCGGCUUAACCGGGGAACUGCGUCUGAUACUGGAUGGCUUGAAUCCGGGAGAGGGAUGCGGAAUUCCAGGUGUAGCGGUGAAAUGCGUAGAUAUCUGGAGGAACACCGGUGGCGAAGGCGGCAUCCUGGACCGGCAUUGACGCUGAGGAGCGAAAGCCAGGGGAGCAAACGGG
rnacentral:rRNA from 1 species